rnacentral:rRNA from 1 species
UGAGGAAUAUUGGGCAAUGCCCGCAAGGGUGACCCAGCAACGCCGCGUGGAGGAUGAAUGCCGUAAGAUUGUAAACUCCUGUUAGAGGGGAAGAAUAGUACCGGUUGGACCGGUAUAUGACUGUACCCUCAGAGAAAGCCCCGGCUAACGACGUGCAAGCAGCCGCGGUAAUACGUAGGGGGCAAGCGUUGUCCGGAUGUACGGGGUGUCAAGGGCGCGCAGGCGGGAUAAAAAGUCAGUGGUGAAAUCCUACAGCUUAACUGUAGAACUGCCUUUGAUACUUUUAUUCUUGAGUUCGGGAGAGAGAGACGGAAUUCCAGGUGUAGUUGUGAAAUACGUAGAUAUCUGGAAGAACACCAGUUGCGAAGGCGGUCUCUUGGUCCGACACUGACGCUGAGGCGCGAAAGCGUGGGGAGCAAACA